AGUGAACGCUGGCGGUAGGCCUAACACAUGCAAGUCGAACGGCAGCACAGGAGAGCUUGCUCUCUGGGUGGCGAGUGGCGGACGGGUGAGGAAUACAUCGGAAUCUACUCUGUCGUGGGGGAUAACGUAGGGAAACUUACGCUAAUACCGCAUACGACCUACGGGUGAAAGCAGGGGGCCUUCGGGCCUUGCGCGAUUGAAUGAGCCGAUGUCGGAUUAGCUAGUUGGCGGGGUAAAGGCCCACCAAGGCGACGAUCCGUAGCUGGUCUGAGCAGGUGAGCAGCCAAAGUGGAACUGAGAUACGGUCCAGACUCCUACGGGAGGCAGCAGUGGGGAAUAUAGGGCAAUGGCGCAAGCCUGAUCCAGCCAUACCGCGUGAGUGAAGAAGGCCUUCGGGUUGUAAAGCCCUUUUGUUGGGAAAGAAAUCCAGCUGGCUAAUACCCGGUUGGGAUGACGGUACCCAAAGAAUAAGCACCGGCUAACUUCGUGCCAGCCGCCGCCGUAA
rnacentral:rRNA from 1 species